UGCUGCUGCAGCUAGUGGGAAGGAUUUGGAAGAGACAGGUAGUGAGGAUGAUGGGCUUUUGGAUUUGAGUGAAGAUGAUUUCUUCUUAACUGGAACUUCAAGUGAUGAAGCAGACGCAGAUGAUGAAUGGACUGAUAAAAGUACAAGGGAACAUGCUUCUAGUACUUCUGGCAAAGCAGCAUCUGGUAUGUCCAGUGAUGAAAGGAACCAGAGGCAGAUGUCUGCUAGAGCUCUAAUGCCUCCUCC
rnacentral:misc_RNA from 1 species